AGAGUUUUUUUUUUUUUUUUUCACGAUCAGAAGAGUGUGGCCGUGACUCUUCACAUCUCACCACCUCCGGCAGUGUCUCUGUAACGGCCUGAGUUAUCGUCACCUGAAUACAUUAAUCCAUUCAUUUACGUCUUAUAAAUCACUCAUCCCACUCUCUCGAAUUAAAUCGACCAUAGCAUCCUCCAAUGUAACCGAAGACUCACUUAUUAAUGUAUUGUUGCUUAGAAUGAACAUUCCCACCGAAACGAAAUCCAAAGACUUCUCUCUUUCAAGCAUCAAAUCCAUCAAUGGCAAAUUCAUUUGCUCUUCUUCUCGCCAAUUCGAAAGCUGGACCCAGUUCACCGCUGAGGUCCGUCUGCUCAUAUUCUUGGUGUCGACAUGUUCCUCCUUGACGAGCAGGUUACAGAGAGCUGCUCACUUAGGAUUGAAUCAGCGCGAGGAUGUCAUCGACGUUUAUACGAAGGGGCUUGAUAUCGAUCCAAACAACGUAGCUUUAUAAUUAUGUUUGGCAGAUGCUCAAGGCUUUGCGUCGAGUCCACACACCAUCUUGAAUCCGUUUGGGGAUGGUUCCAAUGGCUAGAGAUGUCGGAGAAACUAACGGCUGAAUAUUCAGCUAGAGGACUCAGGCGGGUGAAGCAGCGGCGGAUCAGGAGGAUAAGAUGGUUGUGCCGCCAAGGAAGGAGCAUGGAGUAGAGAAGAAAUAAGACCCGGAGCAUGAACCUGGGCCGAACUUUGGAGAAGAAAAGGUAAAGCUUUAAACAAGAAUGGGGAAUUCUACAUACAAGGACGUCAAAACAAUAUCAGGAAUUACUCAGCCAUGGAAACUGAUGAUGAAUAAAUCUCUUUAUCACAAAUCGUGCUGCUGUUCAUCUGGAGAUGGCAAAGUAUGAUGAGGGCAUCAAGGAUUGUGAUAAGGCUGUUGAACGAGGUAGAAAGUUUAGUUCAGGUUACAAGUUGGCAGCUAAAGCUUUGACUAGGGAGUGAACAGUUCUGGGGAAGAUGGAAAAAGUCUCGAGAGACUAUGAACCUGUGAUUGAGUCUUACCAUAAAGUUCUUACGAAGCACCGCAACCGAGACGUGUUGUGUAAGUCAAAAAAACAUGUUUUACGUGUUGGUC